rnacentral:rRNA from 1 species
GAUGAACGCUGGCGGCGUGCCUCAAACAUGCAAGUCGAGCGGGGCUAUGUAAUAUCGCAAGGUAGAACAUAGCCUAGCGGCGAACGGGUGAGUAACACGUGGGUAACCUGCCUGGAAGACAGGGAUAACGAUUCGAAAGGGUCGCUAAUACCUGAUAAUAUCCUUUCAUCGCAUGGUGAUAGGAAGAAAGGGGAAACCCGCUUUCAGAUGGGCCCGCGUCCCAUCAGCUAGUUGGUAAGGUAAAGGCUUACCAAGGCGACGACGGGUAGCCGGUCUGAGAGGAUGUACGGCCACACUGGGACUGAGAUACGGCCCAGACUCCUACGGGAGGCAGCAGUUGGGAAUCUUAGGCAAUGGACGAAAGUCUGACCUAGCGACGCCGCGUGAGGGAAGAAGGCCUUCGGGUUGUAAACUCUGUCAUGGGGAAGAAGGAAGUGACGGUACCCAAGAGAAGCCCUGCUAACUACGUGCCAGCAGCCGCGGUAAGUCAUACUCGUA